CGCAUGAUGUUAUCGCUCUCCGCAAUCGCUACAACAACGUCCUACAGCAACAUUUCGCACCGCAAAUCGUACCCCAAACUUCACAGCUUCAAUUUCCGCCAAGUUAAGCGCCACUGUUUGGUGGCCGGCCAGAACGCCACUCCAUGGAUUUCACCCCGCUGAGCCCCCUAACUGUUGAACCCAGGGGGAUCCCGCUUAAACUAGCCUGCAUCUUCAACCACCGUGCCAAACGGCAUCAAAA
rnacentral:lncRNA from 1 species